UGGCGAACGGGUGAGUAACACGUGGGUGAUCUGCCCUGCACUUCGGGAUAAGCUUGGGAAACUGGGUCUAAUACCGGAUAGGAGCCAUCUUUAGUGUGGUGGUUGGAAAGUUUUUUCGGUGUAGGAUGAGCUCGCGGCCUAUCAGCUUGUUGGUGGGGUAAUGGCCUACCAAGGCGGCGACGGGUAGCCGGCCUGAGAGGGUGUACGGCCACAUUGGGACUGAGAUACGGCUCAG
rnacentral:rRNA from 1 species